rnacentral:rRNA from 1 species
GUCAGCAGCCGCGGGAACACCGGCGGCCCGAGUGGUGAUCGUGAUUAUUGGGUCUAAAGGGUCCGUAGCCGGUUGGUCAGUCCUCCGGGAAAGUCUGAUAGCUCAACUAUUAGGCUUUCGGGGGAUACUGCCAGACUUGGAACCGGGAGAGGUAAGAGGUACUACAGGGGUAGGAGUGAAAUCUUGUAAUCCCUGUGGGACCACCUGUGGCGAAGGCGUCUUACCAGAACGGGUUCGACGGUGAGGGACGAAAGCUGGGGGCACGAACCGGAUUAGAUACCCGGGUAGUCCCAGCCGUAAACGAUGCUCGCUAGGUGUCAGGCAUGGCGCGACCGUGUCUGGUGCCGCAGGGAAGCCGUGAAGCGAGCCACCUGGGAAGUACGGCCGCAAGGCUGAAACUUAAAGGAAUUGGCGGGGGAGCACAACAACGGGUGGAGCCCUGCGGUUUAAUUGGACUCAACGCCGGACAACUCACCGGGGGCGACAGCAAUAUGUAGGCCAAGCUGAAGACUUUGCCUGAAUCGCUGAGAAGUGGUGCAUGG